UACGUAGGGGGCGAGCGUUGUCCGGAUUUAUUGGGCGUAAAGAGCUCGUAGGCGGUUCGAUAAGUCGGACGUGAAAUCUCCACGCUCAACGUGGAGGGGCCGUUCGAUACUGUCGUGACUCGAGUCCGGUAGGGGAGUGUGGAAUUCCCGGUGUAGCGGUGAAAUGCGCAGAGAUCGGGAGGAACACCCGUAGCGAAGGCGGCACUCUGGGCCGGUACUGACGCUGAGGAGCGAAAGCUAGGGGAGCAAACAGG
rnacentral:rRNA from 1 species